rnacentral:rRNA from 1 species
GGCGUAAAGAGCAUGUAGGCGGAUAGAUAAGUUGGAAGUGAAAUCCUAUGGCUUAACCAUAGAACUGCUUCCAAGACUGUCUAUCUAGAAUAUGGGAGAGGUAGAUGGAAUUUC